rnacentral:rRNA from 1 species
GACGAACGCUGGCGGCGUGCUUAACACAUGCAAGUCGAACGGAAAGGCCCUGCUUUUGUGGGGUGCUCGAGUGGCGAACGGGUGAGUAACACGUGAGUAACCUGCCCUUGACUUUGGGAUAACUUCAGGAAACUGGGGCUAAUACCGGAUAGGAGCUCCUGCUGCAUGGUGGGGGUUGGAAAGUUUCGGCGGUUGGGGAUGGACUCGCGGCUUAUCAGCUUGUUGGUGGGGUAGUGGCUUACCAAGGCUUUGACGGGUAGCCGGCCUGAGAGGGUGACCGGGCACCAUGGGACUGAGAGACGGCCCAGACUCCUACGGGAGGCAGCAGUGGGGAAUAUUGCACAAUGGGCGGAAGCCUGAUGCAGCAACGCCGCGUGCGGGAUGACGGCCUUCGGGUUGUAAACCGCUUUCGCCUGUGACGAAGCGUGAGUGACGGUAAUGGGUAAAGAAGCACCGGCUAACUACGUG